rnacentral:pre_miRNA from 1 species
AAAAAAUUUGGACCGGUGGUCUACCGAGCAAUAUCACCCGCUCACUGGAAGAUCUUCCCUCCAUCGU